CGCAACUUGGUCAGUAUGAUGAAGUACUUUAUAAUUUUCAUGUUGUGUUUUGUCGUCGCUUGUGCUUCAUCAAAUGUGGUCGGGCCUGGUGUUCUAGGAACGACGACUUGGAGCCAACGUUAUAAUGGUUAUGGCGGCCAACAAACCAUUUUCACAAAUUUGGACGAGCUCGGAAGCCAAAGUUUUGAUGUUGGCUUAUUUAGAAGACGAUGAAUAAGAUAUUAUAAUAAUAGCCAAUUUCAUUAAUGUUAAAGUUAAUUAUUAAUUAAAUAUCAUGUUAUCUCCCUUAUUCUCGUUAUUAUGUGAAAGAGAAGGCAUAAUAUUAAGAUAAACGAUUAGGUAACUGUGACAAGCGUUAGUGGAAUUGAAAACGUGAACCAGAUAACUAACGUUUUAUAACAUGAGGAAAAAUACUCAUUUUUUUUCUAAUUUGAACAAAACUU